rnacentral:rRNA from 1 species
GAUGAACGCUGGCGGCGUGCCUAAUACAUGCAAGUCGAACGAACCCUUCGGGGUUAGUGGCGCACGGGUGCGUAACGCGUGGGAAUCUGCCCUUUGCUUCGGAAUAACAGUUAGAAAUGACUGCUAAUACCGGAUGAUGUCUUCGGACCAAAGAUUUAUCGGCAAAGGAUGAGCCCGCGUAGGAUUAGGUAGUUGGUGGGGUAAAGGCCUACCAAGCCGACGAUCCUUAGCUGGUCUGAGAGGAUGAUCAGCCACACUGGGACUGAGACACGGCCCAGACUCCUACGGGAGGCAGCAGUGGGGAAUAUUGGACAAUGGACGCAAGUCUGAUCCAGCAAUGCCGCGUGAGUGAUGAAGGCCUUAGGGUUGUAAAGCUCUUUUACCAGGGAUGAUAAUGACAGUACCUGGAGAAUAAGCUCCGGCUAACUCCGUGCCAGCCGCCGCAGUAACAC